rnacentral:piRNA from 1 species
UCAAUUGAGCCGCUAUCCCCUCGGAGGGAAG